CAUUGGGACGCCGCGCCGCGCCGCCGCGCCGCCGAAAAAUCCCCAAAAAUUGGCGCCACCGCCGCCGAAAAUUUGUCGGCGUCGACCUCUGAUUUCGUGCAUUUUCAAUUUUUUUAUUUUUAUGCAGUGAGGGUUCCAUUGUUCGUUAUUUUUUCAGUACAUGUAAGUUCGUAACAUUUAAAAAUAUCUCGUAAAUUGAUAAUAUUUCAGUUCGGUUAUUUUCCAGACAUGGAAAAUAUCUGAAAAUGAAUAUAUGGAGUUGACACGACAAAGGAUGUCAGGGUUUUUGAAAUUAUAAAAUCUUGAUAGGUUGUCAGUACAGUUACUUUGUUUACGUCAAAAAAUUAAAUUUAGCCUAAAUUACGAGUACAUAACUGAGGAUGAGUUUUUGACAUGUUUUUAGCAGUAAUAGUGAAUAUUUUUUCCCCCAAAAAAAAAACACGAAAAGCAAAUAUUUACUUUCAGAGGGCUGAAUUUAAAAAUUCCCAAUUAUGGGUUAAAAACGGAAAUACGGAUACUGAGCAAAAAUGAAUAUAAUGAAAUAACACAUACAAAUGAAUGAAAUAAAUACAAAUAAAUGAAAUAAAUACAAAGGAACUGAAAAGAAAUGACAUACAUGCAAAAUAACUUAAAAUAAAUGAAAUAAAUACAAAUAACAAUUAAACGAAAUGAAAUAUAUACAAAUGAACUGAAACGCGUUGGAGGAAUAUUUUCAAUGCCUGGUAGGUAACCCAGGGUUGAAAAAACAAAUUAAAAAAGUUGAAGAAUUGGAAGGCAGAUCCCGAGUUUUCGUCGGAACUGCAAUCCACUCGCCUCAUAUGGGGGGAGGGGGAUAUUGUUGGUCAGCGAUGCCUGGUAGUGGCCAAAACCCAGGGUCGAAAGCUAUGAUACAAGAUUCAUAGUAGGGCAAACUUCUCGCUUCUUAUUAGAGGUGGAGGGGGUGUCGUUCGACGAUCGACACAUUUUUAAGAGAAAACGGAUAAAUUUAAGGAGUAAGAAAAUAUAAAAAGGCUUUGAAACAAUUGCCGAGUGCACAGGCAUUUGUUGCAUUCCCUCAAUGAUGCAUGGUUUGAGUUUAAUUAUUUUUUAAAGUUGAAAUUACGGUUUAUGCUUGAAAUUGAAAAUGUGUACCGGCGAUUUGUUUCACUUCAUUAUAACCUUUCUUCUCUGAAUUUGGUUUAUUGAAUGAUUUUAUUACCAUAUUUACUAAUCAAAUUCGACUACUCCAGGUUGAAAUUGUGUUGGGAGAAUUGAUCACUUUCCCUCACACUUUUGACUUGUUGAUAUGUGCAUCAACAUAUGGAACACGUUGGGUGUGCACCCACUCCCAAUGCGUUUUCACUGUGAAUGAAAAUUUUGCAGUUUUCUUAAAUCGUUCUACGGAAUAUUUCAUACAUUACGUUUGUAAGUUACCAUUUAUUAGAAAUUUUAAUAAUACUACCUCAAAUGUCAUGUUUCAAUAUGACUGUUUAAAUUUUCUGUUACCACUAUUUCUGUACUACUGGAAUAUGUAUGUAUUUGGUAAGAAAAAAAAACUAAGAUUUCAAUUACUCUCUGUCUAUGUCAAUUUAUUUGUCAUUCACAAAUUAUUUACGUGUUUCUAAUAAUUAUUAAUUAUUUUAUCAAUUUAAGUGACUAAUUUUUAUGACUCCCAUAAAUUUUGAGUAUUCUCCGUCUUCAGUAAAUCAAUUUAAUUCAUUAUGUGCAGAUGCAUUAUAUGUAUGUAUGUAUAUAUUAUACGCUAUGCACUUUUACGAUUUGAUUGUAAGCCGUUUUAUGUAAUCACUAUAUUGACAAACAAACACAACAUUCACACACUAAAGAUGUCUCAAUUACUGCUCUUGCAGUUCAAAAUUUACAUGCAAUUGGCAAGUACGCAAAUUGAAAUCAUAUGUAAAGCCACGCUAAAUUAUGUGUAUUGCCCAGUCACCUCAUUAUUCUUGACUUCUGUAUUAUUUGAUGCGAUAAUUUAAUCUAUCUAGUGUGUAUGGAUCAAGACGUACUCGGCCUACGUUUUAUUUCGUCCAAUAUAUCUAUUUCUACAAUUUUGAUGGGACAAUCCAGGCGUUUCCGUACAAAACAUCUGGGGCCAUCAUCUCUACACGAAUAUUUUGGCGACUUGCUACAUAGCCUUGUUACAACGGAUUUUUCUUCCUCACUUUCGCUCAUCCUCACGUCGUCCCGUGGACUUUAUUUUAACGGAGGGAGGAACAUGUGACUUCUUCGCCUUUAAAUCGCCUUCUGACAACAUUUUGUUAAAUUGUUCGUCGUAUGGUCGCCUACGUAACUUUCUUCGAACUGAUGAAAUUAUGUAUUUGAAAUCAUGCUAUUUGAUAUUAUAUGAUUGUAUUUUCAUUCAUGUAUGAGACUGAUACAUUAUGGUCGUGUUUGUUUUCAAUUUGUUUAAAUUAUAGACGUAUCUAAUCUGCAGUUUGGGUUAAGCUGGAUUUAGAUAUUAUUAUUGUCUUCCUUUAUGUAUGUUAAAUGGAAAUAUUUUGGAUAAUUUUUGGAGAUCAAAAUUGUACAAUUCAAGAAUCCCAACCGGUGUCCAGAUUGAAUUAAUGCAAAAAGUACUGUUAUUCUAACAUGUUAAGUUUCUUGACCAUUCUUGGGCAUACCAUACCAAGAAAAUUAACUUUCAACUUGAACGUCUACAAAGAAAUGAUGACGAAGAAAUGAAGCUUAAAUUUCGGAUAAUUUAAACUAAAUAAUUCAGGUUUUUAUACUAACUUUACUAACCCAUUAGUUACAAUAAUGAGCUUGAAGGGACCAAGCUCACAAUUAGAAAGAGGGAAUGUUGCGUGUAGCAAAUCUAUGUAAUGUUCUCGCGUAAAUCGGAUGGGUGCAUCCGAUUUGCAUAAGAACUCGGGGAUACAAGAGGAGAGACCAAAAUAGAAUUUUGGGCUCUCCUCUCUCCCGAAAUGCGAAAAGAGAGUCAGUCGUAGUUUAGAGUAGAUUAAGAGUAGUAUAAGUAGUUAAGUUACGGUAGUUUAGGUUAGAUUUAGUUAAGUUCGUAAGAAAUAAAGCUUGGGCAUUUUCUAGCCCUACCUUUGGUAAAAGAUUAAAGUGCUUGUGGAAUUUAUUGGAGCUACCAGGAUUGGCGCCUGGUUUUUGUGCUAUAAAAUAAUCCCAAUUGUGGUUUUUUUGUUGGAAACUUGGAUUCAAUUGUGAACAAGUCCAAGGAAUGGAGUGAGGUGGUUAUAUUUGAGAGUGUACACAAUGUGUCGAGAUCAAUCCAAAAAAUGUCAUCACUGAAGUCAAGCUUGAUUGCAGUAUGGUCAUGAAACUCCACUUCUACUUCCACUUCGACUUCACUUCCACAGAAGUGGCUUGUUCUGCGACAGAGAUGAAACUCCACUUUCACUUCUCCCCAGAUAACCACAAUCAGAUAACCACUACCAGAUAAGACCAUCGGACGACCACUUCAUCAGACAACCACUCCCAGAUAAGACCAUCAGACGACCACUCCAUCAGACAACCACUCCCAGAUAAGACCAUCGGACGACCACUCCCAGAUAAGACCAUCGGACGACCACUCCAUCAGACAACCACUCCCAGAUAAGACCAUCGGACGACCACUCCCAGAUAAGACCAUCGGACGACCACUCCAUCAGACAACCACUCCCAGAUAAGACCAUCGGACGACCACUCCAUCAGACAACCACUCUCAGAUAAGACCAUCGGACGACAACUCCCUGAUAACCACCGUUAGACAACCACUCCCAGAUAAGACCAUCUUGGAAACAAAUCUUGGAAAAAAAUGUGGUCCAAAAUACCUGUCCCUUGUGACCAAGCGUGCAUCCAAAUAACCCCACGAGAAGUUUGCACUCAGGAAUUUUUUCAUCCCCACACUAGUGGGGAUGUAAAAUUUGUAGACAAGAUGAUUCUUAAAUCAAAAUUUCCGAAAAUCCACCCGUUUGGUUAACGAAAAUGGAGCAAUUUCGCAGCCCUGCAUUACGGAUAAGACCAUGACCGCAUCUCUUUACCGAUCAAGCCGUAUAAACUACCGAUUAAUUACUUUGAUAAGUGGUCAUCAAAAAACCCAAGUCUUAUUUUGUGCUCACAAGGUUACUUGCCAAUAUCGUCAAGACGUUUCUGGCUACUUCAAGGAGAAAACAAUUGAUUUUUUGUCUAAAUUGGAAAAGCGUCCAAUGUCCCCCAAGCAAGAAGUAUUUAAAGAUUUUGGACCUUUUGGAAAAGAUAUUACUUAAGACGACCGACUACACGGAAAAACCCGUUAUGUUUUCGACCUGUCAUGGGUCAAAGCUGACGAGUGCGAGGAGACAGUCGGGAAAUUCCAUAAUUAACCAUACGUGGAAAAACCGACCAGAAAUUGAUUACAAAGAAAUGCGCACGUGUCGGGAAAGAUUGUGUGGAUCCUGAGGACUGUUGCACAAAUGAUUGCAACCCAGAUACCAAGAAAUGUGGCUGUCUAUCGGAUGGGAGUGGUUGUAAAUUUGGCUACGAUUGCUGCUCUAAAAUCUGUGACUAUGGGAGCUGCAGCAAUAAAAGGUCCACAGUGGAGUAUCGGGGUGGUGGAAAAGUUGGGAGAUAAAUAAAGGAAUGGUCAAUCGACUAGUAUAUUUUAUCACUUGAUAAUCACAUUUAAUCAAGGUCGUGACCUUUUUCUAGUGAAAUAAAUUGUAUGCAACUUUAGCAACAAUAAAAUCAUGAAUCAAAUACUGAAUGGUAUUAUAACUCUAUUAAACUUUUCUUGAAUCUGUUGCAAUGGUAACUUUUUGGGAGAGAAUCAUAUGAACUUUGUACUGAGAACUGAAAAGCAUAUUUUGACGGAAUUUUAUUGAAAUUAAAUAAAUACAUGGCAUUGUAAAAGUCAGAUGAUUAUAUUGGAUAUGAGCAGAUCACUUUCUUUAAAUUAUAUGGAUGUCAUUAUUAGCUCACCCUGCGUAGCAUGGGAGCUAUUGAAUUUCUCUUGUCCGGCUGUCCGUCUGUCUGUCUGUCUGUUCACGAGCUUUUUUUUACAUCAGGUAAUAAAAAAUCCCCUUGACCAGUAUUGAAUAUCUUAGUCGCACCAUUGGUAUAAAACAACCCGUGACGCAAUUGGUGCACAUCAAAUCAGAACAUCGAUUGAGAAAAGACUACAAUUUUGGAAUUACUAGCACCUUUGGGGUUGAACAAUCGGUUAUGCAAAAUGGUGCCAAUAUAUUGGGAUAAAUUGAAAAAUGCACCAAGA